GCUAGUGGGCAAGAUAUCUAUAUAAAGUUGGACUCUUCCCAGUCAGGUACAAGUCUCUGCUACUUUACUUGUGCAUGUAGGGCUGUAAAGAAAGCUACAUUAGAUUCUAGACAAAACUGAAUGUCAUAAAAUGUGCAAGCUGAGGCCUGAGGUUUUUCAACAUCAUUUAAAAUAAAUAAAAAACAAAAAUAUUUCCUACUUAUGAAACUCAGAUGAAUUUAUUUGAAUCCUCAGGGAACUCCAGCGUAGAGAAAGUAAAGAAAUUGAGAAUCAGCUUGCCGUUGGGAGCAUCGAUUCUUCUCUUAGCAUUAUGUUUGAUCUUGUAUAUAAAGCAAAAGAAGAAGAAGAAGAAGGAUCAGGAUCAGAUACGUUUUGGCGAAGGUACCAGACGUUUUUCUGCUUCGAAAUUUGUGUUAUGUGGCUUGAGUAAAUGUGCUUUAAUUUCUGGAUCCACUUAGUCUCAGGAAUUUUCUGUUUACAUCCAGUUAAGUCCUUAGACAAGAGGGGUUGCUCUGAUGGUAAGCAGCCCCCACUUCCAACCGAGAGGUUGUGAGUUCNNNNNNNNNNNNNNNNNNNNNNNNNNNNNNNNNNNNNNNNNNNNNNNNNNNNNNNNNNNNNNNNNNNNNNNNNNNNNNNNNNNNNNNNNNNNNNNNNNNNNNNNNNNNNNNNNNNNNNNNNNNNNNNNNNNNNNNNNNNNNNNNNNNNNNNNNNNNNNNNNNNNNNNNNNNNNNNNNNNNNNNNNNNNNNNNNNNNNNNNNNNNNNNNNNNNNNNNNNNNNNNNNNNNNNNNNNNNNNNNNNNNNNNNNNNNNNNNNNNNNNNNNNNNNNNNNCCCAGGUAGGGGUAAGGUCUGCGUACACACUACCCUCCCCAGACCCCACUAAGUGGGAUUAUACUGGGUUGUUGUUGUUGUUGUUGUUGUUGUUGUCCAGUUAAGUCCUUAUUUUCAUCAGGAAAAGGAAGAAAGAUCUCUGAAAUGUUCUACAGCAAUGAAAGUAAAGAUGAAGUUCCAGAUUUACCAUUGUUUGAUUUUGCGACCAUCUUGGAUGCUACCGAUAACUUUUCACUGAACAACAAGCUUGGAGAGGGUGGUUUUGGUCCUGUUUAUAAGGUAACAUAGUUAGGGGCAACUCUUUCUUUUUCCUACAAACUAACUGCAGGACGUUAUCUUAUGAUGGAACACUGACUAUCUUAACUUAAAAAUAUAAGUUUUGGUUAGAAAAUUUGUCUCCAAUUCUCCUAUUUCCCUUGAACAACAAUGUGAUAUUAAGUAACCAACAUUCUGGAGAAGCUCUUUCAUCUAAUUGCUUGAUGAUACUUAGGGUAUGCUGAAAGAGGGACCAGAAAUUGCAGUCAAGAGACUUUCAAGAUACUCGGCCCAAGGGACUGAUGAGUUCAUGAAUGAAGUUAUCUUCAUUGCCAAACUCCAGCAUCGGAAUCUUGUUAAGCUUCUUGGUUGCUGUAUUCAAGCAGAAGAAACAAUGUUGAUUUAUGAGUACAUGCCAAACAGUAGUUUGGACUGGUUCCUUUGGUUGGUUCUCACUUUUUUUUAUUCCUGUAGCACACUUAGCUUUCAUGAAUUAUCUAGAAAAGUAGUAAAAUCAUAAGCUUUCGAUUUCUGCAGAUAGAGAUCAGAGCUUACUACUUGAUUGGCCUAAGUGCUUCCAUAUUAUUAAUGGAAUUGUGCGAGGACUUCUCUAUCUUCAUCAAGACUCAAGAUUGCGGAUAAUCCACAGAGAUCUUAAACCUAGCAAUGUUUUGUUAGAUAUUGAUAUGAACCCAAAGAUAUCUGACUUUGGAACGGCGAGAAGUUUCGGAGGAAAUGAGACUGGAGCAAGGACAACCAGAGUGGUUGGAACAUAGUAAAGAUCUUUAGAGCAAUAAUGAGCAAAUUCCUCUUCACUACAAAGCUACUUACUUUCUUUUGUUUAAUAUUGUCCUGCAGUGGCUACAUGUCUCCAGAGUAUGCAGCAGAAGGCAAAUUUUCAGUGAAAUCAGAUGUAUUUAGCUUUGGAGUUCUGGCACUGGAGAUUUUAAGCGGGAAGAGAAAUAGAGGGUUCUUCCAUCCAGACCAUCACCAUAAUCUUUUGGGACAUGUAGGAACUCUUCCUGUCUAUCUUAAAACUCAUGUUGGUUGGUAAAACUUAUAGCAUCUAACUGCAUGAUAUCAAACGUUCAGGUGUGGAUCCUCUUCAGAGAAGGCAGGAGUUGGGAACUAAUAAAUGCACAUCUAAGAGAGUCAAGCAACCUAUCUGAAGUGCAAAGAUCAUUCCAUGUAGGUCUAUUGUGUGUGCAGCACUGUCCAGAAGAUAGGCCUACUAUGGCAUCAGUUCUGCUGAUGUUGUCUAGUGACAUUCCAUUGCCCUUACCUAAAGAGCCAGGUUUUUUUACUAAAGCUUACAGUUCACCUAGCACGCAAGGCGAAAGUUCUGUAAAUGACAUAAGCAUCACAAUGGUGGAUGCUAGAUAGGAGAGCACUCUUUGCUUCAAGAGCAUCCAGUUGGUCAACUUAGUAAAGAAUUUUGUGUCCAAUAGCAAUGUGUCCUCUGUCCAGUAUAGUGUUUCACGGGGGAAUCCAUCGUCUGUAGGAUUCUUUCAUUGAAAUUGCAAAAGGGGUAUGUUGCUGCCAUUUUGAAAGGAUUACGAAGCACCCAAGUAAAAGUAAUGUCCCAACCUCCUGCUCUGAUUGGCACAAAGCACAAGAGUGAUGGUCAAAUGUGAACAAGUUCUUUUUUAGUCUAUUCUUCACUCAAGGAAAAAAUCUAUAUAUUUCCUUUUCGCUCAGACCUGCCUGAUUUUGAAAUCUGUUAGUGCUGUAGUUAACUUUGCAUCUGAUUUCUUGAAACUAAACAUUCAAGUUAGUCCCCUACCUCUUCGGAAGGUUAUGUUAUUCCAUGAAAUUCGAAAGGUUGUGUGACUUUUCAUGAAAGGAUUUAUCUGUUGAAAGACAACCCUUAAUAAAGAUAAGACUGGACAUGAGUGGAUGUCUUUGUUGGUCCAUAAAUAAUAAGACUUACCCAUCUUUCCAUGAGAAGAAGUUUGGCAGAUAUUAUUUUCAGAAUUACAAAAGCAGUUCAAAGCUUUAGAAAAGAACUUGUGAAUUGUUGAUAACAACUUUUGAAGGGAAAAGAUUAUUAAACCAGAGUGUGAAAUGUGGCUGGAAAGUGAAAACUAGUGAUUCCAAGUUCUUUAUAACAACAUGGAUAAAGAAAGUUUAGAUUCUUGGAGUCCAGGAAAUUUGUUCUGGAUCCUUUUUUUCAUUCGAGAAAACAAUUUAUAGAGUUAAGGAAACCUAGUACAAUCCCAUACAGUGAUGUUUGGGGAGAGUUUUGUAUACGCAGACCUUACUCUUAUCUUAUAAACGAAGAGAGGUUGUUUCCGAUUGACCCGCAAUUCAAGACAGUGAAAAAGACACAAUAAACGAACAGUAACAAUGGCAAGGACAUAAGAUAACAGAAACAAAUAGCACCGCUUGUAAUAGCAAAGGGACUAGGAAUACGAAGCUACAAGAGAAGUGCGGCACUAAUGCCACAUUGUCUAACAACAAGGAACUCGGAAUAAGCAGAGUACAAGACUAGAACUAUUAUCACUAGUAUGACUAGAAGAGACUCUCCACUAUCUGUCAACCCACAACCCUAAUCCUCGACUUCGACACCCUCUAUCGAGGGUCAUGUCUUCGGUAAGUUAAAUUAGUGUCAUGCCCUGCCUAAUCACCUCUCAUCAGUAAUUCCUAUGAUCAACCUCUCGCAUCUCCUCACUGGGGCAUCAAUGUCUCUCCUUUUCACAUACCCGAACCAUCUCAGCCUCGAUUCCCGCAGCUUGUCUUCCACAGCGCUACACCCACUUUGUCCCUAAUAACUUCAUUCCUAAUUCAAUUUUCUUGAUAUGCUCACACAUCCAUCUCAACAUCCUCAUCCCUGCUACUUUCAAAGUAACAUUAAAAAAAAUUCUAUGCUUAAUAAAAAAUAUUUAAAACAGUUAGCUUUAAUAUUAAAUGUCCAAAUAGGUUGUAGAUGCACGCAGUAGCGGAGACAGGAUCUCCACGAAGUCCUUGACCACUAAAUUACACUCUUGAGUUGUAUUAAGAGGAUUCAAAACUUAAUACAUAGUAGUAAACAUAGAUUUUGCCUUAUAUAUACAGUGUAAUUUUUCGGCGAAAGGGGUUCGGUGAACCUCUUCCGCCCCCUAAAUCCGCCACUGGGUGCACAUCAUGGACGAAUUCUCAUACUUUACACCUAAUUCUGAAAGCUCAUGAAUCAUUUGCAUAAUCAUAAUGUUUUCUAUCAUUUCAAUAAUUAUUACAAAGAUAUAAAUCAUAACCCUAUCACUCUAAUUCAUCAAUAUGCACGUACUUAUUCUUGAGUUAUGAAGUUCAUGUUCUAUCGUGUAUAUAUAUAUAUAUAUAUAUAUAUAUAUAUAUAUAUAUAUAUAUAUAUAUGCAAAGGUCCGAAACUGAUUAAUGUGCAGUAUUCUGAUAUAGAAUUCCAAUAAUACAAUUCUAAAGAGUUCCGGUUAAAGGCUAUACUUUCCAUUAUUAAAUUAAAUUUUUAUUUCCACGACCUCACAAUUGCAACAAUGUCAGCUAUUAUUACGUGUUCCCAGUGUUGUUAAAAGCGACCACUUCUCCGUUUAAAGAGAGAAGCAAUGCAAAGCGAGGUAUCUAACGCUUCUCUGAUUUAAAGCAUAUCAGGUACACAAAAGCGAUUGUUUUUUCUGAAAAAGUGAGAAGCAAGGAAGCGAACAAAAGCGAACGCUUCUCUUUAUAGUUGGGCUGCCAACUUUAACUAAUUAGAAAAGCUCUCUUUUUUAAAUUUCAAGAUCAUCAAAUUUAGUCCCAGCUAUGUGAUUUCUUCCUCCUCCUCCUCCUUUUCUUCUUCUUUUUCUUUCACCAUUUCAAUGUCCAAAUAGCAGCAAAAUGCUGGUGAAAAUUUUUUUUCCCUUCGGUUCUUCUUUUUCUCAUUCUCUUCUUCUUCUUCUUUAUUUUCUUUCACUGUUUCAAUGAUCAAUUGCGUGAGUUAAUUUCACUUAUGGUCACUCAACUACAUUUAAAUUUUAUUAAAGUCACUCAACUAGUUUUUGUCACUUAAAAAUAACUAAACUUUAACACUGCCACUUAAAAGUCGUUUUGGCUCAAACACCUACCAUAAAUACGACAUGACAUAAAAUUUAAUGAGAAAAAUUCAAAAAUAAAUGUCACAUAAACUUAAAUGGACCAUACCCACUUUAGAUUCAUUUCUCUUUAAAUGUGAUUUGACUUAUAACCAAAAUGGGUUUCAAUAGGGAAAAAAUACACCCCUUAAAAUUAGGUCUUGUCAUUUAUUUUGUGGGGUUUUUAUGGUACAAACACACUAUUUUUUUUUGUCUAAACAAUUGCAAUAGGUUAUUUGUAAUUGCAUGUUCAUUAUGAAAAUAGACUCUUAUUACCCUUAUUAUUAUUCAUGUAUGCUUAUGACACAUUAAUAGGUUAUGAAAGAUGAAUAUAAUAUUAUUUUAAUUUCACUAGAAAAUUAUAAAUUUGUUAUAUGAGUUGGAUACAAUAGUAUUUUAACUUCGAUAGAGUUAUAAAACAACCCAGACGGGGCAUACAAAUAAGAUAAGAAUUUUUUUUUAAUACAGAAUAAUAUAAAUGGGCAUUAUGUAACAGAAAAUGCAAGAAUUUUGUAGUAUAUGAUAAUCAUUUUAAACUAAUGUGAAAUUAAUAUUUUUUAUUGAAAGUAUUUGGAUUAUGAGUCAAGUCACAUUGAGGAAGAAAUAUAUCUAAAGUGGGUAUGAUUCACUUAAGCUUAUAUCGCAUUUAUUAUUGAACUCUUCUCAUUAAAUUUUAUGUCAUGUCAUAAUUAUGGUAGGGGUUUGAGCUACAAUGACUUUUAAAUGACAAUGUGAAAGUUUAGUUAUUUUUAAGUGACAAAAAAUAGUUGAAUAACUUUGGUGAAAUUGAGACAUAGUUAGAUGACCAUGCGAAAUUAACCCUAAAUUGCAGCGAAAUGCUGACCAGUUUUCAUUUCAAUUAUACUGCCAUUUUUUGGGCAUACUUAGUGGCAUUUUUUUCAUAUCAUUUAUUUUUAGUUGUCUAAGCAGUAUUUUUUUAUUUUUUUUUAAUUCCGCUUCAUUUCAAAAAUUCGCUUCUCGCUUCUAAUUUUAAGCGGAAAAAAGCUUGCCAUUUCUCCUCGCUUCACUCUCUUCGCAAUACUGGUGUUCCCAAUUCAAUUCUUAUCAGUACUACAAAUAUAAUUCAUAAUGAUUUUCUUUCAUAAUUCAAAGAAUACACUUUUUGGGGUUAACAUAAUAAUAUAUACCUAAGUACCAAUAUUGAGUUGAAGAGUUGUCCUCUCCUAGCUCUCGAUUCACGACGCCAUCCACUCCACCUGUAGCCUUUUCUUUCAAUUACAGUGCCGAUGUCACUCUGCUUUCUCUUGGUAUUUUUUUUCCACUUAUUUAUUUCUCAGGCGUGACUUUAAACCCCGCAACAAAGAAGAAUGGGUUUCGCCCACUUCUGCCUAACAAACCCCCAAUGGGUCUAGUACUAAUUUAUCAUUAAUCAUAUGC
rnacentral:lncRNA from 1 species